rnacentral:rRNA from 1 species
GAUGAACGCUGGCGGCGUGCUUAACACAUGCAAGUCGAACGAUGAAAGCGGGAGCUUGCUCCUGCUGGAUUAGUGGCGAACGGGUGAGUAACACGUGAGUAACCUGCCCUUGACUCUGGGAUAAGCGUUGGAAACGACGUCUAAUACCGGAUACGACCUUCGGAGGCAUCUCCUGGGGGUGGAAAGAAUUUCGGUCAAGGAUGGACUCGCGGCCUAUCAGCUGGUUGGUGAGGUAAUGGCUCACCAAGGCGACGACGGGUAGCCGGCCUGAGAGGGUGACCGGCCACACGGGGACUGAGACACGGCCCAUACUCCUACGGGAGGCAGCAGUGGGGAAUAUUGCACAGUGGGCGAAAGCCUGAUGCAGCAACGCCGCGUGAGGGACGACGGCCUUCGGGUUGUAAACCUCUUUUAGUAGGGAAGAAGCGAAAGUGACGGUACCUGCAGAAAAAGCACCGGCUAACUACGUGCCAGCCGCCGCCGUAACAC